CAGGUCUUUCCUUCUGUUGGACAGCAGGAUCAAGUGAGCUGAGAGAGUGUUCCAAAGGAGGGAGAAGACAAUGGAGAAGUUCUCAUCACAUAAUCUUCAGAGACUGAACAAAAAAAAGAAGAGGAAGAGCACUUGUGCCAAACAUGCUUGGUGAAGUUCUGCAACUGUUUUCCCAUCAGAGUGAGGAAGGACUAACUGCUUCCAGGAUGGAACUUGAUAAUUUUGUGGAGGAGGGAAGGAAGGUGUGACUGAUCGCCGCAUUGCAACUUCUUGAUCAAAACAAUCCGUGUCACCAAGGCAUGAGGAAGGAAAGAAACCCAAGCCAGACUGCAGCUUCUUGAGGGAAUAAGAAGGGAAACAAAAUAAAAGAGAAGAUUGAAGAAGAGACAAGAGAUUAUGCAAAUAUGCACUGUGAAUUACAUCCUGGAAGCGCAACCCCUCCAGAGGUAACUUGCCACCUGCGUUUCCCUACCAGGCACCUCCAAGUCAGUAAGAAAAAUGGAGCAGCUUUUAAACAAAAAGGUAAAGGGAAGAAAGAAUAAUAAUAAUCAGACUAAGUGUUCUUUAAUUCUGGCCACGUUAAACUCCAAAUGCUGCCAGAAAGCUGGCAAUAAAAUGUAAUUCUUUCUGAGAACAUGACGAUCAGUCAU